UUUUUUUUUUUUUUUUUUUUUUUUUUGCAAAGUAAAAAUAAAAUGCAACUAGUAGUAGUUAUUAGAGCUAUUGGUAGGCGGAGUGAAACUCAAGCCCAACUUUUACAAAUUAAUAGCUUGAGACUUGGAGGUAUUCAGAUGGGCUGGGCUUAGCCCAACCUUGAGUGAAGUUUGUCCAAACAAAUAACAUUUCAGAUAUUGGGCCCACCCAACUAUGGGUUUUGUGUCAACCGUCCAAGAAAAGAUCGGACACUAAUGAAAUCCAGGGUUUUAAUGUCUACUGUCUACAUAUGGAGCGUUAAACCCUUGAAGAAUCCCUCUCUUUAGCAUCUGCAUUUCCGAUUGAUUUCCGCAACAAUUUUACCUUCAGAAGCAGCCAUGAAUCGAGCAAGGACAAUCCUCGCAUCUCUUAGACUCUCCAACUCACUCCUCUCAACUCGGCUCUCCACUACCCGACCACUUCUAACUCAGGUGAUUCGCUUCUCCCCCCUCUCUCCAUAUUUUCCCUCUGAGCAGUCUCAUACUUGUUUUUUGAAUUCCCAUCAAAUGGUGUACUUCUCAUCAAAACCAGGUUCUCUUGUUGAGCUCUUAUUGGGCAAUGAUUGGUCCACUGAGUUAGAAAGCGAGUUAGAAACCUCCAACCCCAGAUUGACCCAUGAGACAGUUGUUUAUGUUUUAAGGAAGCUAGAUAAAUACCCGGAUAAGGCAUGGGACUUCUUUAAUUGGGUAAGCGAGAGAAAUGAAUUUAAACUCAGUUCUCCACUGUACAGCUUAAUGCUUAGAGUUCUGGUUAAAAAGGAUUACAUGAAGAAGUUUUGGAUUACGUUGAGGAAAAUGAAAGAACAAGGGUUUUAUAUUGAUGAGGAGACUUAUUUAACAAUUUCAGCAAUUUUUAGGAAAGAGAAGAUGGACAGUGAUUUGGUGGCUUUUAAACAUUUUUUUGAUAGGAUGGUUAAAGAGAAUGCUAUGGAUAGUAUAGUGAAAAAUGUGGUUACUGUUAUUUUGAAGAUGGAGUGGAACAACGAGGUUGAGGAAGAAUUGAGGAGUAUGGGAAUCAUUUUAACAGAUAAUUUUGUGAUUAAGGUACUGAAGGAGCUCAGGAAUUAUCCUUUGAAAGCUAUGCUGUUUUUUCAUUGGGCUGGUAAGUGUGAAGGUUACGAAUGCAACACUGUCACAUAUAAUGCGAUUGCCAGAGUUAUUGCUAGGGACGACUCAAUUAGAGAGUUUUGGAGUGUUGUUGAGGAAAUGAAGAAUGCUGGUCAUGAAAUGGAUAUUGACACUUACAUAAAGAUUUCGAGGCAGUUUCAGAAAAUGAAGUUGAUGGAGGAUGCAGUAAAGCUUUAUGAAUUUAUGAUGGAUGGCCCAUUUAAGCCCUCAAUUCAAGACUGCAGCUAUCUUUUGAAGAGCAUCUCAGCAAGCGACAAGCCAGAUUUAAAUUUGGUCUUUAGAGUUGCAAAGAAAUAUGAGGUGAUGGGAAGUUCCCUUUCUAAGGCUGUCUAUGAUGGGAUACAUAGGUCCUUGACAAGUGCAGGACAUUUUGAUGAAGCAGCAAAUAUUAUCAAGGUUAUGAAGAAUGCAGGAUUCGAGCCUGACAACAUCUCAUACAGUCAAUUGGUCUUUGGACUUUGUAAAGCAAGGAGAUUGGAAGAAGCAUGUGAGGUUUUGGAUGAAAUGGAAACAAAUGGAUGUGUUCCUGAUGUCAAAACUUGGACCAUUUUGAUUCAAGGCCAUUGUGCUGCUAAUCAAGUCGACAAGGCACUAAUGUGUUUUGCCAAGAUGGUGGAGAAAAACUGUAAUGCUGAUGCUGAUCUGUUGGACAUUCUAAUAAAUGCUUUCCUCGGUCAAAAAAGGAUAGAGGGUGCAUACACAUUACUCGUGGAGAUGGUGAACAAAGUCCAUUUAAGACCUUGGCAGGCUACAUACAAACUUCUUAUCGAAAAGCUUCUAGGAGAAAGGAAACUUGAAGAAGCAAUGGACCUUCUUCGUUUAAUGAAGCAACAUAACCAUCCUCCUUUUUCUGGGCCAUUUGUUCAGUAUAUAUCCAAGUUUGGGACUGUGGAGGAUGCUGCAGAUUUCCUGAAGGCAUUGAGUGUGAAGGAAUAUCCAUCAACUUCAGCUUACUUUAAUGUCUUUCAGUCCUUCUUUAAGGAAGGUAGACAUUCUGAGGCCAAAGAUCUGCUAUAUAAGUGCCCACAUCAUAUUCGUAAACAUCCUAAAAUUUCUGAACUUUUUGGUUCCGCACGAAGUUCUGUUGCGAAUGAUUGAUCAUAUCAUUCCUAUUUUUUACUUAUAACUGAAGCAUCGAUUCAUCUUCCAAUCUUCUCUUGUACAAAGUUGCCCAAGCACAAUACUGAAAAUUAGUUGUAUAAUUUGCUGGUAGGAGUUCGUUCAUUUUCCAUUGCGAAUUUAGUGUCAUGUAUUUAUAUAGCAUUGGCCUAAUCUGCCAUCUUUCAUUUUUGCCGAGUCCUAGGUAGUAGGUAAUGAAAGCAAUUGUAGCUUUGGCUGGAAAGUUUUGGACCGACCAAGAAAUAGCGGUUAUUACAUGGUGUUUGGCUUUAUUUGUUCAGAGUAAAAACUUCCCUUUCGGAGAAUGGGAGAAUUACUAUUUAGUUCCUAUAGUUUAAUGAAAUUGAUUAUUUAAUCCCUGUCUUUUGAAAUAUAUAAUAAUGCAUCCCUGUGAGCGAUGUAAUACCAUUUAACAAUUUGGUCCAAAAGCUUUAGGUAAAGUGAGUUUUUAGUUUAGCAAAAUAGGUAUGGUAAUUAUUAUUUUAAUAAUUAUUCAUAUUAUUAAAAAAAAUUAAUUCUUGCUUCUAGCAUAAAAAAAAAAUACAAUAUGAAUAAGAUAAAAAAUAUUUUAGUCUUUCCAUAGGACUUAGUCGUCCAACCGGAACAAUCUGUAAAAAAGCGAUUAAUGCAUUUUUAAAAAGGCAAGAAACUAUUAAUUUCACCAAAUUAAGAGGGCUAACUAGUAAUCUACCCUUAAGUUAUCAAUGAUGGAAUUUAAUUUAAUCGUGUUGGAUUUCAAAGAAUUAUUUCAUCAGUAAAAUGAACAUUUUCUUAAUAGACAUGAAAGCAUAAAAUCCAAAAUUACUUUCACAUGACAGUUUUUUUUUUUCUAGUAAAAUAAUAAUUGUAUAGGUGAAAAAAAAAAGUUUCUACAAUUGUUGGCACUAGUGUCCAAGAGAACUAUAGGUACAAAAGAUAUAUACCAUCCACAGACUAACCAUCUCCAGUUACGAAUCACUGCAACAGGAAUCUCAUCCUCAAACAAGACGGACAUGAGUGGCAUAAAGAAAAGGCUUCUUUCACAUUAGCAUUGAACGCGUUUUUCUUUUACAAUUUACAUGGGCAACCAUUCAGUCAGGCAGCUCGGAACGCUCCCUCCUUGCUGUGUCCAACAUUGUUGACAAGAACUUACUAGGGUCGCAACAAUAUGGAUUUGAAAGUGCAGCGUGUGCCAAAAAUGGAAGUUUUCUUAACGAUCUUCCACUUAGGCCCUGUAUACAUGGUUACAGUCGCAAGUUAUUUCAAUAAAUUUCUAUUGUGUUAAUACCAUAGAAGCUAAAAGAAUUUUUCACUUCUCACCUCACAUGCCUGGGCAGCUUCAAGCAAUUGUUCACACAAGUUUACUGGUAUCUGAGCUUCUGGUCCAUCAGGUGCAUUCCGUUUCUCUUUCAAGGUUGAAUAAUUUGGAAGCAUGAGCUGGUCAGAGUCCUGCAGAACUUAACAAGCUCAUAAGUCAUCAACCAUCAAAGUGGCAAGGCAAUUGCUUAAUGCAGUGAGGGAAAUCUUGAGUUGGCAAUCAUCGGAUACAGGUUCAAAUCUGAAAGUGGCACUUAAUGCAAAAAUGAUUAACUAUCUGUCAGUCUAAAUUCCUCUCCAAGGUCCCCCAACGCUGGAGUCAUAGUUCAGUGAUGGCAUUUACUCGUAAGAAUAUUAAUCUGGCCACACUAAUAUCUAAAUGGAGAGGAAGAUAUAUGGAAUUUCCAGAAAGUCACACCUGUAAAUUUGAUAUUAUUCCAGUUCGCAUAAGUUCCUGCAAGCAGGAUCUUAGAAUUUCAUAACGAGCUUGAAGAGUUGGAGGACCAACAUAGGCUUUGAUAUCAGCUCGAUCCACAAAUGCAAUAUCUGCAACCCAACAAUUGGAAUAUAUAUUAAAGAAAUGGAAUUUAUCCGAGGUGCUGUAAGGGACAAUGAGGAAACUUUCAAGGGAAAAAAAAAAUAUAAGAAUAAUCAUAAAAAUGGUUUGACUGUUUUUCUUUUUUGCCCAACACAGAUUGACAACAAAGGGCUCUGAACAUCUAACUCCAACAGAAAUGCAUGUGUGGUUUUCAAAUUCCAGGGUUUCCAGUUGGAUUAAUAAUUCAAAAACAAACUUGAAGACCAAUGACCAAGACCAUCAAGAUCAUUAAGAGUGUUAGAAGCAUCUCCAACAUUCAUAUGUAAACAAAAAUGAAUUUGAUUGACUGUUGUAGGAAGGAAUAUGCAGAGAUAAGAGGGGAUAAAAAAUUCAUAUCAGGAUAUAUAACAUAUAUUAGAAACUCAAGCAUAGAAACAUAGUAGAAGUGGGAGGGGAACAGCAUUGAGUUCAAGUUAGCAUGCAACGAUGCAGAGGAAAGUUGUUUGGAACUGCGAUAAAUCAUAGACUUACCUAUAGCAGCAGUUAUAUUGGAGGUAGUCAGAAUAACCACAUUUGGUGAGCAUUUCAAUUUGUCCAACUGGGUUAACAGUGCAUUGACAACCUGGUAGACAUUGCAAAGGUACCAUGCAUUAAAAAAUAUAUGAGAAGUUGUACCUCAAAAAAAAAGGUCAUUCUAGUCAUUCACAAGUCAAAAAUCAGAAAUAAAUUUGAGAGAAGUCCAAAGGCCAAUACUCGAAUAGUAUCAGAAGGUUCAGAACCAGACAAAGCAGCUUUUCUUGCUGCCGCAAGGCUUUCAACUUCAUCUGCAGCAUCAUCAUAUCUAAAGUAUCACAUGCUAGAAGGGGGAAGGAUGAGUAACAAAUAAAAGCAAAUAUAUCUUUUCAUAAUAAAUCUCACCAAUCAAAACAAAAACUAGAUUGUUUUCUUCCUCCACCAUUUCUUGAAUUUUCUGGAAAAGUUUUGCAACCUGAUGCAAUAAUCAGAUAACAAUUUUUUCAAGAUUUUUCAAAAAAUAAAGAUUCCUAUUGGAAAGGAGAACACUAAAACAAGUACGAUCCAUUAUUUUCUUUUUUAAAUUUACUGCAUAGAUUGUAUAGACCUUUGGCUAGGAAAUCUGGCCAUAAAUUGAAUUACAAACCAAGCAUCAUGAGCAAGUUGACUAUGAAGAUGGAAAAAUGAUCACAUAUCAAUUACAAUAUGUUAUAACUAUGUAACAAAAUAGAGAAAUACUAUAUUAAAAAAAAUAGUGAACAGAAUUAGCUAGCUAGAGAGACCACAAGCAUUUGGACUCCUUGAAGACGAUGAAAAAUAUACCAGCUUGCCACUUUCAGAGAACCAUUUGCUAAAUAAAGAAUGAGCAUUGACUUCAACCAAUUGGCACUGAGGAUAUCUGAUAAAGGCAGAAGUAUAAACAAGAACAAUAAAAAAGAUUAGUUAAGAAUAUAUACAUGUCCUCGUUUCUUUUCAUUGGUUCAUUAAGAGAAUAAACAUUCAUCAAACAAGACAUCAAGUGACCUGGAUUUAAAUCGUAUUGAUAGUUUUUGAGCCAAUGCUUUACAUAAGGAUGUUUUUCCAGUCCCUGGAGGUCCAUGUAAAAGAAUAAUCCUGGAAAACAAAAUGGACAUAUGAUUGGGGUCAUCUCAAAUUGUAUGGAAGCAGAAAUGCAGGGUGACAUUUCUACUUUUGCAGCUUUUCAAAUCUGCUUUAGAUGAAUCUGUAUUCCCCUUAUGGUUUCCAUACAUCGAGAUUUAUUUCAUGUCAAAAGUCCUUGUACUAGUCAAAUUUAUACAAAAGAAUAGGCUUAAGAAUUUUCCUCCAAUUUCAAGUCAGGCAUUUCAUUUUCAAGAAAAACGACUGAACAAUCUUUGAAUAAACAAAAUACUCAUCCCAUAAGCUGUCAUCUGGCUUGCAAAUACUGAUGAAAUAAGCCAAACUUUUAUUACCGGUUCCAUGACACAAGAAAAGGAUCAACACCCUUCUCAGUGAAGAGCAGUGCACUUGCUGCAUAACGCAAUAACCUUUGCUUGAGACCAGAUUCAUAAAUUAGGCUGCAAAAGUAAAUGACUGACAUUGGACAAUGCAUUGAUGAAUUGAACAGCAAAAAAAAAAAAAAAAAAAAAAAAAAAAGGAGAAGCUCCAAACAAACCUUUCCCACAUGCCAUCAAAUUCCUUUGCAGGCAAAAUCCAUUCAUUGAAGCUAGAAAGUUGGCCAUCCCCACUUAAUUCCUCACAUGGCCCUUCCUCACUAAGCUGACAAAACAAUGUAUAAACUAUAGAGUUUAUAAAACACAAUCAAAAAAGUGCAAAUAACACAAGAGCGCACGGGAACCUCUCAUUUUUACGAGGCAAAAAAGGGGCUAAUAUAGAUAAAAUAUAAUGCUAUAUGGCCUCAUAAAACUCUUACAAAUAAUUUAGAGGGAGGAAAAAAAAAAAAAAAAACCUAUGCCUGCACAAAUGUUACCUGAAAGACAUGUACAAUAGGUUUGACUUGCCAAAACAACAGAAUAUCAUGGUUCUUUGUCCAUUCAUCUACAGAGCAAAAAAGUAAACUGUUAAUUUUAUUGUGUCUACAUAAUUGGCACGGCAUCCAUUUGUUUCUCUAAAUUUUGGUGAAAUGAGAAAGGUUUCAUUUUAUCUUUCUUUUCUUCUUCCUCUAGAAUCUCAGCAACCAAAAGUUGGAAAGCAAAUGAAUACCCGUAUCACAAAUAUGGAUUCUUUGUACAUUUUGUGCAAGAAAGGUUUCAUCAUCAGGUAGUGGAAUAGGUCCAUCAGUAUAGCUUAAACUCCUCUUUUCGAGCAUUCUGAUUAAAUUGAACCAAAAAGGCCAAAUUUUUAGUCAGAAACACAUGAAAGUAGGCAAAAAUCAAACAAACUGAUUAUUGAAAACGCAAAAAUGGUAUAUAAUCCGACCUCAAAAAACAAAGAACGAACUCAAUAAGUAAACAUUCCUAUGGCAGAUAUAAUAUUCAUGGCAUACACAAGCUACAUGAUGUUUACUGCAUACCUUUCAACAGCAGAGCGAACAUCUUCAACACGAGCUGUGCUCGAGGGUUUUAAGCAAACUUCAACUGAAAAAUUAAUAAUCGAAGACUCAAUCGGCGAAACCUCAAAGUAGGAGCUUGAAGUUGAAAUAGAAGCCCAAUCUCUAAUUAAGAAGAGAAGGAGGGCCCAAUACGUACCAGAAACGAUAAAUUUUUCCUGGGCGGGAAUGGGAGAAAGGGCUGGUAGCUGUGAGACGCCAUUUGUUAUUGAAAUGUGGGCCUCUGUGGGGUUUUCCGUAGUAAUCUCCAUGGAAGUAGUCAUUUUCUGGCUAUGUUUGAGGUCAUAAACGGUGAAGACAGAGAAUUCGGAAAUGUGAUACUACGAAUAUUGGGCGAAGAGGCAAACCCUAGGACCAAAAGAGGAAGUUUUUCCUUUUUUCAAACGCGGGCGGGAAAAUGGCGAAGCAGUGGCGCCAUAUUUAUUUGCAGUUGCCAAUAACAACAGGGUCUUUUUCUUUUGUUUUUGUCUGGUUAUUAACAAAAGACGGGUUUAUCAGUUAUUAAAUUUCAAAAUUACAUUCGAUUUGAAAUUUUUUUAUUUUCAAAAGUCAAUGAAAUGUUUUUCAAAUAUUAAUAAAUUUAUUAUAUCCAUUAUUGAUUACCAAUAAUCAUCAUUAUCAAUUAUCACUAAUCAUCAUCCAAAUGCUAAUUAAUUAAAUAUGGUCACAUGCCAAUGCCAUGAACUCAUCAUAGCUAUCAUAAUUUGUUAGCGCAAACUGAAAUGUUGUUUAUAAUUAAGCAAGAAAGAUUUAUAAAUCCAAAUCCAUUCUUAAUUGUAAAAUUACCUAUCAUAUUAAUUUAAAAUAUAUUUUAAACAAAUACAGGACUAGCGACUUUAUUAAAAUAAAAAUAAAAACAAAACAUAAUAAAUUAUUGUCACUAUAUAAAUUAAAAUUUAAUGACUGCAUAAGUUGCGUGAAAUAAAGCCAAAAAUAACCAAAAAAGGAUUAAAGAAAAUCAAUGCCUAGAAGGGAGAAAUUAGUCUCGGAAAUAAAUAAAGGAUACGUUCACUUGUAGAAAACAAAUUGAAGUAGUUCUUUAAAAAAAAAUUUAAAAAAAUAGGAAAAUAAAAUUUUGUGUUCAAAUCAGUCAGUUUUCUAUCUAUAAAACUAGAAAAUAAUUUUAUAGUUUUUCAAAAUUUAAAUAACAUUUGAAAAAUAGCUUCAAGUUAUUUUUCACAUUAUUCCUUUAUAACAAAAUAUAUAUUUUCCAACUGUUUUCCAUUUCUAUAAAAUGAUAUUUUCAUAAUUGAUGUUGUACUAUCUAUAGAUAAUUUUUUCUAUAAAAUAUUUUUAUUGAAUAAAUAAAAAUACAUAAAUAACAUAAAAAAUUAUAUUAUGCUUUAAUAUAUAAUUAAUUUUAUAAUAUCAAAUAUAUUAUAUUCUUUAUUUUAAAAAAUUGUUACAAAAUGAUAAAAAUGAAUAUUAUUAUUAUAAAUAAUAGAUUUAAAAAAUUUUAAAAAAAUUUUUUAGAGUUAUUUUAUAAUACUUUAUUUUUAUUAUGAAAGUUAUGAAUAAUAUUUGUGAAGUUUUUAAAUUAAAAUAUAAUUUUUUAUUGUUAUUAAGUGAAUGAUUUUUUAUUUUUUAUUUUUUUUAUUUUCUAAGAAAAUUAUUUUUUUAAAAAAAAUAAAAAAUAAAAAAUAGAAAACUGUUUUGUGUUUUAGGUGAACACACGCAAACAAAUCAAACAUUAUCCUAGAUCUGGACCUUACCUAUCCAACGGUCAUCAUUUAAUCUGCAGCAACAGAUGAUAGUCAAAAAUUUCAUCACACAGAGAGGACAAGACAAGCUUCCAAACACCUUUUCUCUCUCUAUCUUCCUAGUCCUAGCAGUAGCAGCAGAGCCAAUGUGAGGCUCUAAUUUAGCAGAGAUAACAUCUAACAUGGCCCUCUUUACCACACUUUCUUAGAAAAAGAAAGCUAACAAUGAAAUAUGAAGAAUAAAAACAAGUCAGAGCAAGAAGAAGAAGCAGAAAAUGAACACCAUCUUGAAAUCCUCAAGGCUGUGGCACAAGCAUGGCAUGCGCACUCAGGCACCUCUAGGCCGACCAAUGAACAUGACGCCUACCGCCGAAAUUUUCAAACCAAGCCCUCUCGAUUCAAGCUAGAAGCAAUCAGCAGGCCAUGGACCGGUAACUAUAGAGUUGCGAGUGGAAGUUGGGAUUUUAAGCAAUCGCUGCUUGACUCAUAUGAGAUUGUCACCAUGACCAAGAAGCUUGAAAGAGGGCUUGUUUUAGAUCACCCAUUUUCUGGAUUGGAUUAUCAAAGCCGAGCCCCUAGAAAGCGAAGGGAAAGCAAGAAUAGUCUUAGAAAUUUGUUUAAUCGUAUGUCCUGGAGAAGAUACAAAGAAGCUGAUAUUCCUCGCGAAGAAGAUAUGUAACACUCAAUUUUGACAUAGUUUCUUUCUUUUCUGUAUUUGGUUUUUUUGCAUUGGUCAUGUUUCUACAUAUUAGUAAGUGAUAAGCAAUUUACAUCAUCAGGUUUUCGAAUGAAGAAUUUUCUUUCUAUUUUUCUUUUUUUUUCUAUUUUCCUCCCUUGUAUCAGAUUCUUCAUUGGAAAACCUGAAAUAUGGAUUUAAUUUUUGGUUCUUGAUGUGUCAAUAUCACAAAUUUUUACAACUUGUGUUCAGAUUUUUUUGGUAUAUGAUUUAUUGUAUUCCCGUAUAAAUUACUGUGGACUGGUCCUUAUUCCUUACGCUAUCAGAUUCCCAGUAUAAUGAAGUUCAAAUAUUCAUCAGAGUCACCAGAAUUUGACUGUAGCUGUCAAUGGCAAAGAAUAAUUACGCCGACAGAGUAAAAAAGCAAGACGAUAUUGGAAUAAAGGUAGCUGUGCCUACAUUGUCAUCUACAUUUGCUUGGUAUGAAGUAUAUAUCAUUCAUCUUUUCAUGUUCGAUAGAAUAUAUUGUUUGGAAAUUUAACAGCACUACAACUUAAUUAUUAGUUAAUUAUUGUUAAUUAAUAAGUAGCAACAUUAAAACCAAAAAGAGAAUACGUACAAAAACUAUAUACUAUAUUAAAUUAACUAUUUUAUUAGAAAUCUGAAAAACAGAAUCUAUGAAAAUGCAUGACUUUAACAUGCUAAAACAGGCCAACCCAGAAAGAAUUAUAAUUAUAUAGUUGUGUUGUGCAGACAAAGAGAAAGACAAAGCCUUCUUUUAUUUAAAUAGCUGCGUUAAUUAGUAGCAAACAGAACUAUAUAUAGCUCACACGUGUUCCCAAAUCCUAAUAAUAAAAUUAAUGCAACUUGAAAGUCUUCCAUUUGCAUAGCUCAAAUGCCUUAUGCUUCUGUUGGAGAUAUCCAUCAGUUUCUGCAUCAAUACUCUUCUCAACAACUUCAUGGAUCCCUGCAGAGUUAUCCUGGACAAUCAUUUGCUCUUGCUCUACUAACUGAACCUUCUUAUUGGGCUUGGUGGGCUUAUCGACACGCUCUUGAACGAUCAUUUCAGGUUCUUCGUCGCGAACCACUUUGUUGUUAAAGACCCUGUGGACAUUUGGGUAGCGAGGCACAUCAGCUAGAACACUUGGCAUCCUUUCUAUUUUUGCAACAUGAACAUGGUAAUCAUGGGAUGUCGUUUCCCAUCCAUGUCGUUGCCUGUGAUACACCGGAGAUUGGGCCAUAUGUUUGUGCUUAUGACGGUUCUUGCUCUGUCUCUCCGGUCAGUCAAUCUUGGUUUACGGAAGAAAUUAUUUAGAAAUUUAUAGAGGUUGUAUUGUAGCUUUAUUCUUUGGAGAUAAUGGUUGCAUCCAAUUCCCUUCCCAUCUGUCAGUUUGUGUAGACAUCAGAAUAAUAUUAUUGUAUAAAACCACAGGGUUGGGAGGAAUCGAAUGCCAAGGACAAUGGCCCUGAAUGGAUUCUAUGAUGUUAGCGUUUGUGUAUAGCGUGGAUCUCAAUGUAAAGAAAGUGGAUUCUUAAAUUUAUGGUGCUUGAUGAUCAACAAGAACAUGUCAUAAAUGCAAUAAUAGAAACACGAGUGGGAGAAAUCGUAGGUUAUGCAAAUUAUGUUAGCUCUGAACUAAACAAGGCAGGUAGUUCGGAAUUCCAGACACAAUUGAUAUAACAAGGCGCCAAGUUAGGUGGGGGUUUAGAACUUUAAAUUAAGUAUAAACAAGUCAACCUAUUUAUAAUACGGAAAAUUUUUGCUUAUUCCCG
rnacentral:lncRNA from 1 species